UACGUAGGGGGCAAGCGUUGUCCGGAAUCAUUGGGCGUAAAGCGCGUGUAGGCGGCUCGGUAAGUCCGCUCUGAAAGCCCGGGGCUCAACCCCGGGAGGCGGGUGGAUACUGCUGAGCUCGAGUCCGGAAGAGGAGUGUGGAAUUCCUGGUGUAGCGGUGAAAUGCGCAGAUAUCAGGAAGAACACCGGUGGCGAAGGCGGCUUGCUGGGCCAUUUCUGACGCUGAGGCGCGAAAGCGUGGGGAGCAAACAGG
rnacentral:rRNA from 1 species